GACGAACGCUGGCGGCGUGCUUAACACAUGCAAGUCGAACGGUAAGGCCUUCGGGUACACGAGUGGCGAACGGGUGAGUAACACGUGGGUGAUCUGCCCCCUACUCUGGGAUAAGCCUGGGAAACUGGGUCUAAUACCGGAUAUGACCUCCUUCUGCAUGGUUGGUGGUGGAAAGUUUUUUCGGUAGGGGAUGAGCCCGCGGCCUAUCAGCUUGUUGGUGGGGUAAUGGCCUACCAAGGCGCCGACGGGUAGCCGGCCUGAGAGGGCGACCGGCCACACUGGGACUGAGACACGGCCCAGACUCGUACGGGAGGCAGCAGUGGGGAAUAGUGCACAAUGGGCGAAAGCCUGAUGCAGCGACGCCGCGUGGGGGAUGACGGCCUUCGGGUUGUAAACCCCUUUCAGUCGGGACGAAGCGAGAGUGACGGUACCGAUAGAAGAAGCACCGGCCAACUACGUGCCAGCCGCCGCAGUAAGAC
rnacentral:rRNA from 1 species